rnacentral:lncRNA from 1 species
UUUUUUGGAAAUUGUCUCCAUAUAACAAGAAAUCUUAGAUGUAAGAUUUGCCAACUUGUAAAUCCUCAUUCUGUGCUUCUAGUAUUGUGCAAGAUCCUAUGCCUAAGCAAUGCUUGGACAAGAUGCUGUCAUGCUUGAAAGAUUGUGAAAUUCUAAUCCAUCAUCAUAUUGUAAAAACUGUUUGCACAACUAACAAUCAACCAUAAAGAAAAAAACAUAUUUCUAUCAUUUACAUCAAGAUAAACAUUAAGAAAUUGUGCGAAAAGAAAGUCGGCAUUCAUUGGUUGAAUUUUCAAGGGAACAAUAUUAGCCUUUCAUAAUUUCCGAUAUAAUAUUGAUUUUGAGACAAACAAUAUAAAAAUUGAGGUAAUUGAUGCUUCAGUCUCACAUUAUUGUAUAUGAACAAAAGGAUAAUCAAAAGAUGAUUAGUUGAGCAUUUGAGUAAACCUCUCCAGAAA